GUCAGGUUACACAGUGGGGUGUGCUCCCAUGGCUGCUAGCUUCUGGCCUCUCCGGUCGAGCAAGCAUCAGCUUUCGGCUAGCGGGCAACUAACAACAGCGGGCAAUGCUCUGAGGCUGUAUAAUAAUUUCAUCUCUGAUUUCAAGACCAAGAUCAACCUUCCUGAAAUUGCUCACUAAAUGGUUCACGCCAAUAUUCACAGAAAAAAGAGAAAUAGCCGCUGGUGCCGAGUGAGGGAGUUUGCUUCUAUUUUUUGUCGAGUUCACUUUGUAUAACAGCAGAAGUCUAGUCUGUAAAGUUAUUUUUCUUGUUUAUUCAUUUCCAUGUAAAUGGAAGUAGUUUCACACCAGUAUUCACAGAAAAAAAAGAGAAAUAGCCGCUGGUGCCGAGUGAGGGAGUUUGCUUCUAUUUUUGUGUGGAGUUCACUUCGUAUAACAGCAGAAGUCUGUAAAGUUCUUUUUCUUGUUUAUUAAUUUCCAUUUAAUAGUAAAUAUUUCAUCGAACUUGAGUUUUA